rnacentral:rRNA from 1 species
AGAACGAACGCUGGCGGCAUGCCUAAUACAUGCAAGUCGAACGAACACUUCGGUGUUAGUGGCGCACGGGUGCGUAACGCGUGGGAAUCUGCCCUUGGGUUCGGAAUAACAGUUGGAAACGACUGCUAAUACCGGAUGAUAUCGAAAGAUCAAAGAUUUAUCGCCCAGGGAUGAGCCCGCGUAGGAUUAGCUAGUUGGUGAGGUAAAGGCUCACCAAGGCGACGAUCCUUAGCUGGUCUGAGAGGAUGAUCAGCCACACUGGGACUGAGACACGGCCCAGACUCCGUACGGGAGGCAGCAGUAGGGAAUAGUU